GCGGCAGGCCUAACACAUGCAAGUCGAGCGGUAGAGAGAAGCUUGCUUCUCUUGAGAGCGGCGGACGGGUGAGUAAUACCUAGGAAUCUGCCUGAUAGUGGGGGAUAACGUUCGGAAACGGACGCUAAUACCGCAUACGUCCUACGGGAGAAAGCAGGGGACCUUCGGGCCUUGCGCUAUCAGAUGAGCCUAGGUCGGAUUAGCUAGUUGGUGAGGUAAUGGCUCACCAAGGCUACGAUCCGUAACUGGUCUGAGAGGAUGAUCAGUCACACUGGAACUGAGACACGGUCCAGACUCCUACGGGAGGCAGCAGUGGGGAAUAUUGGACAAUGGGCGAAAGCCUGAUCCAGCCAUGCCGCGUGUGUGAAGAAGGUCUUCGGAUUGUAAAGCACUUUAAGUUGGGAGGAAGGGCAGUUACCUAAUACGUGAUUGUCUUGACGUUACCGACAGAAUAAGCACCGGCUAACUCUGUGCCAGCAGCCGCGGUAAUACAGAGGGUGCAAGCGUUAAUCGGAAUUACUGGGCGUAAAGCGCGCGUAGGUGGUUUGUUAAGUUGAAUGUGAGAUCCCCGGGCUCAACCUGGGAACUGCAUCCAAAACUGGCAAGCUAGAGUAUGGUAGAGGGUAGUGGAAUUUCCUGUGUAGCGGUGAAAUGCGUAGAUAUAGGAAGGAACACCAGUGGCGAAGGCGACUACCUGGACUGAUACCUACACUGAGGUGCGAAAG
rnacentral:rRNA from 1 species